AUGGUACAGCUCUCUACUGGCUUAUGCACCAGGAGAGGCUCCCCAAACAAACUGAAGAUGGUGACAACUGUGCGGCAAGAGCAGCAGGUUAGAAAGGCUGCAGUGUUGCUCUCGUUUGAAUUCAGAAGCAGAUGCUAUAAAUUAUCUUGCAAAUGGAGCUGUAGGAAUGAUUUUCUGCCUCGCCUCCAUAAUUUGUUGGCACUUUAUCUAGGUACACAGCUGCGGGUGGGGUGUCCUCGCAGGAGGGAGAAGGCAGCGCGCUAUCGGCCCACAUACUAACUUGUGCUGGGAGAGAUGAUUAUGGGCUGGGUGCAGCUCCACUAGCGGAGAGGAGCAGACAAAAAACACUUUUCCCCUAGGGCAGGGUGUGCGCAAGGCGGUACAAACUCCCACUCCUGAUAUAGAAAUGUUCCCUAAACUGAGGACUAGGAUGAGAUGAACCAGUUCUGUAUUCUAAACCAGUUCUGUAUUCAGAGCAGCUUGUGGGCUACAUAAAACCUCCCAAAAUUCAGACGGACCCUGUGCUUCUUUCCCUUUUCAAGGAAAAGGGGGUAUGGAAGGGGAUAAUUUAGUACUAGACAGAUGAAAAAUACAGUGCUAAGUUGACUUAAAUCUAUCUAAUUGGGAAAGAGACUCCAUGCCUUGGGGUGUUUGCAGGGAAAUGGUAGCCUUAUUCUUCACAGGUGUUUUGCAGAUGCGACUUCUCCCCCUUGCAGUAUCCUAUAUGUUGCACUUCAACGUGUCAACUCCAUGAGCUGGACCCAGGAGCAUGUGAUAUCUAUACCUAAACGUAGAGAUCUGAGGUGAGCUGUGAGGCAGAUCAUUUACAGAAUCCUCACGUUGCUUAUGGGAUAUUCAGUCCUGCGUCAUCUGCUAAUUCUGUGUCUUGAAGGUCUACAGAAAGUGUCUCUGCAGGAUUACCUUCUGGCAGCUUCACUUAGUUGCAAUGGAGCCCUACAGAAAAUCUUUGCAAGUUUCCUUUGACUCUGUACGGAGAAUACUGUAAGAAAAAGAGAUAAGAAAAGAUGCGGUUAGCUCAAAAUCUACUCUCCCUCUCUUCAAAUGGCCACCAUACUGUUCUGAUGCCUUAUCAGAGAAAGAAAUUUACCUUUUUGGUAAUGUGAUGUGUAUCCUUUAUGAUGAUAGAGAGACAAAGCUUUAUCGGGCCAGUUUCCACACAUACAGAUGUAGAUGUGUGGAUUUUGUGUGUCUCAAGAGCUCACAAGAUAAACCUGCGAUAGGGAGUGGGGGCAGAACAUGCAAACAGAAUAGACAAAAU
rnacentral:lncRNA from 1 species